UUGUUGGAGAGUUUGAUCCUGGCUCAGGACGAACGCUGGCGGCGUGCUUAACACAUGCAAGUCGAGCGGUAAGGCCCUUCGGGGUACACGAGCGGCGAACGGGUGAGUAACACGUGGGUAAUCUGCCCUGCACUCUGGGAUAAGCCCGGGAAACUGGGUCUAAUACCGGAUACGACUUG
rnacentral:ncRNA from 1 species